AUUGAACGCUGGCGGCAUGCUUUACACAUGCAAGUCGAACGGCAGCGCGGGCUUCGCCCUGGCGGCGAGUGGCGAACGGGUGAGUAAUACCUCGGAACGUGCCCAGUAGUGGGGGAUAGCGUGGCGAAAGCCGGAUUAAUACCGCAUACGACCUGAGGGUGAAAGUGGGGGAUCUUCGGACCUCGCGCUAUCGGAGCGGCCUAUGGCGGAUUAGCUAGUUGGUGGGGUAAAGGCCUACCAAGGCGACGAUCUGUAGCUGGUCUGAGAGGACGACCAGCCACACUGGGACUGAGACACGGCCCAGACUCCUACGGGAGGCAGCAGUGGGGAAUUUUGGACAAUGGGCGAAAGCCUGAUCCAGCAAUGCCGCGUGUGUGAUGAAGGCCUUCGGAUUGUAAAGCACUUUUGGUGGGGACGAAAAGGACUGUGCCAAUACCACGGUUCGAUGACGGUACCAGCAGAAUAAGCACCGGCUAACUACGUG
rnacentral:rRNA from 1 species